rnacentral:rRNA from 1 species
AAUAGAUACCCUGGUAGUCCACGCCGUAAACGAUGUGCACUAGAUCCCGGAGGUUUUGACGCCAUCGGGGUCGAAGCGAAAGUGUUUAGUGCACCGCCUGGGGAGUACGGUCGCAAGGCUAAAACUCAAAGGAAUUGACGGGGGCUCACACAAGCGGUGGAGCAUGUGGCUUAAUUCGAAGCAACGCGAAGAACCUUAUCCAGGGCUUGACAUGCACGGAUUAGUUCGGUGAAAGCCGGAUGACGCGGUUUCCGUGGAACGUGCACAGGUGCUGCAUGGCUGUCGUCAGCUCGUGCUGUGAAGUGUCGGGUUAAGUCCCUUAACGAGCGAAACCCCUAUCACUAGUUGCCAGCGGGUCAUGCCGGGGACUCUAGUGAGACUGCCGGCGUCAAGCCGGAGGAAGGUGGGGAUGACGUCAAGUCCUCAUGGCCUUUAUGCCCUGGGCUGCACACGUGCUACAAUGCCGCCGACAAAGCGACGCGAUGCCGCAAGGUGGAGCAAAUCGCAGAAACGACGGCCCAGUUCGG